rnacentral:rRNA from 1 species
GUGAGGAAUAUUGGUCAAUGGGCGAGAGCCUGAACCAGCCAAGUCGCGUGAAGGAAGAAGGAUCUAUGGUUCGUAAACUUCUUUUGCAGGGGAAUAAAGUGCAGGACGUGUCCUGUUUUGUAUGUACCCUGAGAAUAAGGAUCGGCUAACUCCGUGCCAGCAGCCGCGGUAAUACGGAGGAUCCGAGCGUUAUCCGGAUUUAUUGGGUUUAAAGGGUGCGUAGGUGGUUUGAUAAGUCAGCGGUGAAAGUUUGCAGCUUAACUGUAAAAAUGCCUCUGGAACUGUCGGACUUGAGUGUAAAUGAGGUAGGCGGAAUGCGUGGUGUAGCGGUGAAAUGCAUAGAUAUCACGCAGAACUCCGAUUGCGAAGGCAGCUUACUAAGCUACAACUGACACUGAAGCACGAAAGCGUGGGGAUCAAACAGGAUUAGAUACCCCAGUAGUCC